GAUAAAGGAAGGCAAAGAAAGAGAUUAACUUAUAUUUGACAGCAGGAAAGAGGUUAGUCCACAGUGACUGAUAGGAGUGUUACUCUUUCCCUCGCUUAUGUCCUCUUGUCUCUGUGAUGUGAGUCAUACCUUCUGCAAGCCCAACCUAACAGGAUUAAACCAAAUAGCAAGCAGUUCUAUGUGUAACUGUAACUGCAUCAGGGCUGUUUACCCAAACAGAAAACUGCUAAGAAUUGCUUUUAGACUGAUGUCCUUUGUAAUGGAAAUACAAUAGUUAUAACCAUCUUAACCAUCAUUAUAUAUAUAUAUAUAUAUGAGAUUUUAAUUAUGAAUAUAUCAGCUAACAGCUAUUCUCUAUAUACAGACACGGAGUCACAUGGUGUCUCACUCCCUCAGCCUGUGUUUGCUGUUUUUAUCAUCUACGUCGGUGAAUUAAGGAUUUAUUUCCACCAAACCAGAGUUGGUGAUUGUUGGAAACACUAACAGAGAUGGAUUUGGUGAUUUUCAUGUUGUUUCAGCACAGUUUGAAGUAGGGUGGCCAAAGCCGGAUUGUUUAAAAGCCGGACUGUCAUUUGUCCUCCUUUUGAGAAAAUAACAAAAAAGGUCGCCUUUUGACACAUUACCUCGUUAGUUUAAUACUUAUUGGCUAAAAAUGUGUUUUAAAAAAGCUGUGUCAAAAUAAGUAAUUACAUUGGUUACAUUUUCGUGUUGUGACCUAUUAACACAUGGCUAAUUUUAAUAUUCAAAUGAGCCAUGUGUUGAUUGCCACAACAGGCUCACCACAGCCUCUGACCUGCCUCAACCAGCCUCUGACCGGCCUCAACCAGCCUCUGACCGGCCUCAACCAGCCUCUGACCUGCCUCAACCAGCCUCUGACCGGCCUCAACCAGCCUCUGAUCUGCCUCAACCAGCCUCUGACCGGCCUCAGUGAAGCAACUUGUGGACUCACAGUCACAGAUGGACUCAGAUACUCAUAUGUAUAGGCAAAGUAUGAAACAGAAGGUGCUGUAUUUGUUUUCCCCUUUAUCUAUCCAGAUAAAAACAUUAAGAACAGUUUCUGUAUGAUGUUUAUUAGACCUAUGUUAUCUGAAUUGGAAGGGCACGUUGUCAUGAGCUGUAUCUUGUAUAUUUAUUAUUAGCUAUGUGGUAUGUGUAUGCACCUUUAUGUAAUCUGGUGGAAAAACAUUAAAAUUUAAAACCGGAUCAUACCAAACAAAUAUCUGCUUGCGUGUCCCUGUGUAUGUAAAGUGUCCUCCUUUUUGAUGUGAAGGAAAUGGCCACCCUAGUUGGAAGUGUGUUUUACGAUUACCUCCUACGUAAAAUAACGGUAAUGUUUUUGUCAAUAGAGUCUGGUCAGCUGUAGCACCGGCAUUGUUUUGGCCUGAGAUGCUAGUGCAACAUUUAGUGGAAUGCGAAUUUUUGUAUAUGUAACCUUGAGACAAAUCACAGAUUCAAAUACAAACUUAAUGAUUUGCUUUGUUAUAUAAAAAAAAAUCAUGACGGGUAGACUUGAACAGUGUCGUUUUAGUUUUGUACAUUUUUAGCUGAAGUCACUCGUUGGUUGUUUUUAAGAAUAAAUCCUUUACUGUACUCAUCAGUGUGGGACACAGCUACAAAAACUGUGCAAAACAACAGCAUCACUUUGUAUUUAACAGAAAUGCUGGGUGAGUCAUGCAGCACGGUUCAUUUUAGUUCUUUAUGUUUUGUGUCUUUGUGCUUUAUUAAGGUUUAUGUCAAACAGGAGACAUCAGGGUUAAAAGCUCCGGUUGUCACAAGCACAAAAAACAGCAUUACCUUAAUGGAAAACUAUUGUCCAGGACACAUAACAGUUAACGAACCCUGCAGAUCACUUUUAAAAUGUGCCAGAAACUAACACACAGUUCUUUCAGUGGGUUGCCGCUGUAGAUGAGAGUCGGGCAGCGCGGCGGAGCCUCAUAACACGACACAAUGAGCAGGACGGAAGUGCAGUUCUAAUUAAAAAUGAAUAUCAGGCAGGACUCUGUCUGUUGCUCUCUGUAAGCUCUGUGGGUGCAGCGCAGAAGGACACGGAGCGCAGAUUACGUUUGAUCACUGUGGUAACACAGGAAGAGGAAAUAAUUUCACACUGAGAUGUAAAUUUAAUUAUGCUAUGUGCCUGCAGCUAGUACAGAUCAUCCUGGUGCAGCACCACAAUGUUCAUCACGGAUCAUACAGUAAUUGUUUGUAUUUAAAAAACACUAAUAGGGAUUUUCUUGCCAGAACUUUGCAUUAAAAUAUGGAAUUACUUAAAACAUGGAAACACACAAAAGAGCAGCAAGGCAGCUCAGUGGUUAGCAUGUCGCCUCACAUCAGAAAGGUCCUGGGAGCAUGCAGGUGAAGUGGAAACUGAAGUGCCUGAAGGUGUGAGGAUCAAAGUGUCUACGAGGCGGUGACCCAACCUCCCGCCUAAUGCAUGCUGGCUGUGGCCCCUGGGACCAUAUGUAUGGAUAUGAAUAAAAUGUACUUCAUAUUUUCUAGAUAUUUAAAGGUUAUAUACAAAAUGAACUUAGAAGUCGCUCUAAAACAUCUGAUUCUCAGACCAAAACAAUGGGCGCUACGGCCGACCAGACUACAUGGAUAAAAACAGUCAUUUUACCUAGCAGGUAAUUGUAAAGAAAAAACACACAACACCAAGUUAGAUGAGAAAAUGUCCUCAAA
rnacentral:lncRNA from 15 species